GCGAUGGUGGUAUAGUGGUUAGCAUAGUUGCCUUCCAAUCAAUUGACCCGAGUCCGAAUCUCGGCUAUCGCA
rfam:Daphnia pulex DAPPTscaffold_8334_Cont17465, whole genome shotgun sequence.